rnacentral:lncRNA from 1 species
AGAUCAUCAGAAGUGAUAUAUUUCUACCCACACAAAGGUAUUAAGAUUUGAUCUCAUCUUUGAUUUUAUUUUGAAAAUAUAUGCAUGUCUUUAUGCUUGAGCUUGGAUAGGAUUAGAUGAGAUCUAAUGCAUGUUGGGUUAAAAGAUUUAAUCCGAUUCAUUUUCUACUGCUCUUGAAAAGAUUUUUGAAAUUUAUGCAUGCAUCCAAUCCGAUUUUCUAAUAUUAUGAGAUUUAACAAAAUAAUUUUUUUUAAAAAUAU